CAGGGCCAUUGCCCUAGUACGGCGAGUGAGCGGCAACAGCUCAAAUUUGAAAGCUAGCCUUCGGGUUCGCAUUGUAAUUUGUAGAGGAUGAUUUGGGGAAGCCGCCUGUCUAAGUUCCUUGGAACAGGACGUCAUAGAGGGUGAGAAUCCCGUAUGUGACAGGAAAUGGCACCCUAUGUAAAUCUCCUUCGACGAGUCGAGUUGUUUGGGAAUGCAGCUCUAAAUGGGAGGUAAAUUUCUUCUAAAGCUAAAUAUUGGCGAGAGACCGAUAGCGCACAAGUAGAGUGAUCGAAAGAUGAAAAGCACUUUGGAAAGAGAGUUAAAAAGCACGUGAAAUUGUUGAAAGGGAAGCGCUUGCAAUCAGACUUGUUUAAACUGUUCGGCCGGUCUUCUGACCGGUUUACUCAGUUUGGACAGGCCAGCAUCAGUUUCGGCGGCCGGAUAAAGGCUCUGGGAAUGUGGCCUCCACUUCGGUGGAGGUGUUAUAGCCCAGGGUGUAAUACGGCCAGCCGGGACUGAGGUCCGCGCUUCGGCUAGGAUGCUGGCGUAAUGGUUGUAAGCGACCCGUCUGA
rnacentral:rRNA from 1 species